UAGGUAGAAAAAGAAUUGCUGCAUGGUUGC
rnacentral:piRNA from 1 species